rnacentral:rRNA from 1 species
AACGCACCUUGCGCCCUCUGGUAUUCCGGAGGGCAUGCCUGUUUGAGUGUCAUUAAAUUCUCAACUUCAAAAGUUUUUAUUAACUUUUUGAAGCUUGGAUGUGGGGGUUUGCUGGCGUCUUUAGAUGUUCGGCUCUCCUUAAAGUUAUUAGUGGGAAUGUCUUUUGUUAGGCGAUCCUUGGUGUGAUAAUUAUCUACACUUUGGAUAGUCUAAUGGUUCCAUUGGGAUUAGUUGGUAUUGCGAUUAAGUUUGCUUUACUUGAGUCUCAGAGGAAAAGAUAAGUUCUGCUUUCUAACCGUCUGUGUUACAUGGACAAUUUAUUGACUAUUUGACCUCAAAUCAGGUAGGACUACCCGCUGAACUUAA